GGUAGAGGCAGAACCUCCCAGGGUUGCUCAGGCUGUUCUUGAACUCCUGGCCUCAAGGAAUCCUCCUGCCUUGUCCUCCCAAAGUGCUGGGAUUACAGAUGUGAGCUGCCAUACCUGCCUCUCUUCUCAAUUUUUUAAUCAAAAUAAAUUAUAAAAUGUUGUUCAUAACUAAGUUUGAAAAAUAUAUAGUCCUUCACCCCUUACCCCUUUCUCAUUCCCCAAACCCUGGGAAUCUACUGUAAAAUGAAUUCGUAAACCAAGAGUCAUUGCUUUUGUAUUCUACUACUUACAUUUUACAUGGAAAACACAGAAAGAAGUUGGGUAGUAUCUCCUGGAAGAACAAAAGAGAAGAACCCUGGGGAAUAAUUUCUGGGACUAUACUAUACCACAUGAAAUCUGGAAAACUCCUUUAUUCUCAUCUGCCUUUUUUCCGUUCUAAAUCAACACACUAAUUGGAUAAAAUUCUGCCCAGUUAACUUAUACUUCCUGCAAAUAUUACUUCAAAGAUCUCACUUAAAAAUGUAAAAUAAUUAAGUCCCUCCACAAAAAGAAAUAAUUUAAAAAUAUACGAAGGUAUUUGAUACAUUUUAUUCUUGUUUUCUCAAAAUUAUUGUAUUUUGAGCAGAAUUAUUAUAUUGAAAUUCUGUAUUUUCCUUACUUAGCAUUGCACUGGGAAUAAGUUAGACACCAUCUGUUUGAUUCAAUUGUUUACCUCAAAGGGAAAGUAAGUUCUAGAAAACAACUCUUAAAAAACUGUGUAGAUGUACUUUCUGAUUCUACGACACAGAAUAAGGAGCUAUAUAGAGAAGAAUUCUUAGAACUAUAUCACAGAAUCAGAAUAUGUGUAAGGCAGAAUUCUUAGAAUUAUGCUGCAAUCAGAUGAAUUGACAUACUCUUUUUUUUUUCUUUUUGCCUCUUCGCUUUACAAUCAAGUUAAAGCUAUUUACCUGGACUGUGUUUGUGCUAUUCCUACUUCAUCUUUAUUGAGUAAUUCUGCUUCUUCUCAUGACAACAAAAUAACAUUUUGAAACUUUCUCAUUUAAAGCAGGUGCACUCUGAGUGAUUAUAUGUGUCAUGUACACAAGUCAAGACAGACACCGAUCUCCAGUGUAGAGGUGCAACAGACAGUGUGACAAGGGAUGCAGUGGAAUCUCAUUAGAUACCAUGGCACAGUCUAUACACUUCAGUGUCUCCUGGGUGGCAGACCUCACAGAAUGAAGCCAGGAGCCUUAUGCUGAGAGAAUAGGAAUGUUCAAUGGGUUCUUCCUUCAUCAUGAAAAAAAGCAACCAGAAAACAAAUAGCUUACAGCAAUCUUAAAGCUAUCUUGUGUGCUUGUCUCAGUAAAAAACUAAACGCAAGGAGGAAAAAACAAACUUGACAUGGUUAAAAAGAAGAGGCUGCUCAUCUGGAUUUAUCUUGUGUUAUGCUUUUUAAAUUAAAAAUCCUUCAAAGCUUU